rnacentral:tRNA from 1 species
AAGGGAGACCUAAUUCGGGUAGGAGACGAAAAAAAAGUAGUCCCUACCAAGAAUCAAUCCCAAAAGGUCGGAACGAGGUAUGAGGCUUUCAAACUAGGUUCUGGGUUCAUAAAAGACCUGAAUCAGGAACAAGGGCUAUUAGCUCAGGUGGUUAGAGCGCACCCCUGAUAAGGGUGAGGUCCCUGGUUCGAGUCCAGGAUGGCCCACCUGCACAGGUGGCAAAAACAAGAGAAGCUCCGAAUCAGCACCUUAUCUUAUAUACAUAUAUAAGAGAGAAUGCUGGCUCUGAGUACAGAGUCCAGAGGAACCUUGAAAACUGCAUAGAGCUAGGUGAAAAAGCCAAAAAAGAAGACCGCAA